UAGCAAAUCUAGGUCUACAUCAUCAU
rnacentral:piRNA from 1 species